rnacentral:rRNA from 1 species
GUCGGGAAUUUUGCUCAAUGGGCGAAAGCCUGAAGCAGCAACGCCGCGUGAGGGAUGAAUGCCUUCGGGUUGUAAACCUCUUUUCUUAGGGACGAUAAUGACGGUACCUAAGGAAUAAGCCACGGCUAACUACGUGCCAGCAGCCGCGGUAAUACGUAGGUGGCGAGCGUUGUCCGGAUUUACUGGGCGUAAAGAGUGCGCAGGCGGCCGAGUAAGUCGAAUGUGAAAGCCCCCGGCUCAACUGGGGAGAGUCAUUCGAUACUGCACGGCUUGAAGGUAGGAGAGGGAAGCGGAAUUCCCGGUGUAGUGGUGAAAUGCGUAGAUAUCGGGAGGAACACCAGUGGCGAAGGCGGCUUCCUGGCCUAUUUCUUGACGCUGAGGCACGAAAGCUAGGGGAGCGAACGGG